UACGUAGGGUGCAAGCGUUGUCCGGAAUUAUUGGGCGUAAAGAGCUCGUAGGCGGUUUGUCGCGUCUGCUGUGAAAACUCGGGGCUUAACUCCGGGCCUGCAGUGGGUACGGGCAGACUAGAGUGCGGUAGGGGAGACUGGAAUUCCUGGUGUAGCGGUGAAAUGCGCAGAUAUCAGGAGGAACACCGGUGGCGAAGGCGGGUCUUUGGGCCGUAACUGACGCUGAGGAGCGAAGGCGUGGGGAGCGAACGGG
rnacentral:rRNA from 1 species